rnacentral:rRNA from 1 species
AUUGAACGCUGGCGGCAGGCCUAACACAUGCAAGUCGAACGGUAGCACAGAGAGCUUGCUCUCGUGUGACGAGUGGCGGACGGGUGAGUAAUGUCUGGGAAACUGCCCGAUGGAGGGGGAUAACUACUGGAAACGGUAGCUAAUACCGCAUAAUUUCGCUAGACCAAAGAGGUGGAUCUUCGAGCCUCUUUCUAUCGGCUGUUCCCAGGUGGGAUUAGCUAGUUGGUGAGGUAAUGGCUCACCAAGGCGACGAUCCCUAGCUGGUCUGAGAGGAUGGUCAGCCACACUGGAACUGAGACACGGUCCAGACUCCUACGGGAGGCAGCAGUAGGGAAUAUUGCACAAUGGGCGAAAGCCUGAUGCAGCCAUGCCGCGUGAAUGAAGAAGGCCUUCGGGUUGUAAAGUACUUUUAGCGGGGAGGAAGGAGAUACGGUUAAAAAACGUAUUGAUUGACGUUACCCGAAGAAGAAGCACCGGCUAACUCCGUG